rnacentral:rRNA from 1 species
UACGUAGGUGGCAAGCGUUGUCCGGAUUUAUUGGGUUUAAAGGGUGCGUAGGCGGCCCUGUAAGUCAGUGCUGAAAUAUCCCGGCUUAACCGGGAGGGUGGCAUUGAUACUGCAGGGCUUGAGUGAAGUCGAGGUAGGCGGAAUUGACGGUGUAGCGGUGAAAUGCUUAGAUAUCGUCAAGAACACUGAUAGUGAAGACAGCUUACUAGGCUUAUACUGACGCUGAGGCACGAAAGUGUGGGGAUCAAACAGG